CAGUCAGAGAACAUGAUUGCUACUUCCUCAGUUAUUCUUUCACUUGUACAAGUAAUUAAUGUCUUUCUUGGAACUCUUUUCUAGAGCUAGGAGUCUUACCCAAAUCUCAUUUGAGUCAACAGGAUGACUUUAAUGGAUUUCUAUGGAUUUCAGUCGUUACACAAUCAUUCAUUGGUAUCACAUCUUGAAAGCAGUCCAUCAGAUUUUAUUGCUAACAAAAUUGUCCAUGCUAAAAAUCAAACCAUAGCUUUUGGUUGCUUCUUGCCUAACAAAACUGGUUUUGUCCUAAAGAUGGAGUUCUAUAGUAGGGCAGUACUUAUUAGAAGCAUGAUUAGAAAAAAAUAUAUAUCAUAAAUGGAGAAAACAUCUCAUUUUAGGGAAGGAGGUUAAAAUCACCUGCCCUGACCCACCGUUAUUUUGUUGUCCCAUGUUGGAUGAAUUGCUGAGAUACAAAGGGGGUGUGAGAACAAAAACAUAUCUGAAAAUUUGGAUUUUUUUUCUUAGGUUUUGAGAUUUGUUUUUGUUUUACUUUGCACAUUAAUUAUCAGGUGUGGGAUUUUCUUUUUGAGGAUAAAGUAUUUUUCUUAUUUGUGUUACUAUUAAAACUAAAUAAGCAUCAUCCGGUGAUGAAGUAUUACUGGAAGUAAAAGGUUUAAUCUUCUAAAAUAUAGCAACCCAUUGUUUUCCCUUUGGAGUUGGUGCCUGUUUUAUUUAUGAGUGAAGGUAAAGAUCACGAGUUAUUUCCAAACAGAUAAACAAAGGAAUCAGUUCAUAAACUCAGGAAAAUCAUGUUUACUUUAAUGCAUAUUCUGACUACUCAUGCAUUAUCCGUCUUAUUUAGAAUUGCUGAAAGUUCUUUUCAUCCGCCUCCCCCCUUUACAUUUGUUGCAGUGGAAAUGUUACUUUUCUUACUUCAGUGGAAAGCCCUGUAAGAUUAAUAGUUUCACUGUUUCAUUACAGUAUAAUUCUAAAAGUGAUUAGAGAAUUCUAAGGAAACUUUAUAGCAGAAUCAAUAUAAUAAUUCUAAUUUAUAUGCGUAUUUAUAAACUUGCUGGGAAAAGUCUCUGCUCAUAGGUAAAUAACUUGCUUUUUUAGGCUUGAAUGAAUAAUAGAAGCUGCUGUGAGAGUGAAUAAAAUUAAACAAAGACAUUCACUAAUGCACUGAAGAUGGGGAACAAAAGUAAUUCAUCUACUGUAGGUCAUAAAAAGGAUAACCAUAUGUAGAGAGCAGUAAGAAUGCUAAAACCUGUAACUUGAUGUUACUUGUGAGACAAAUAGUGCCGUAAAACCCAGCAGAGCAUAAGUGCAUGGACAGUAGAAAUAUUCAUUAUAAAGUAACGUGGCAUUUCAUUUAUGGAAAGUACAAAACUUUUAAGAAUCCUCUUGCCUUUUUCUUCUGCUAGAGCAAAACUGUGACAUCUUAAUGAAACAAUAUUUUGGUUUUAAAAAAAGUAAGAAUACUAAUGUUGAACCAUGGUAAUAGGAAGUACUAUGAAAUGGGCUUAAGACUUAACUGCAGUUCUAUAAGAUACUCAAAUUUAUCUUCUACAUUAUAGAAGACUAGAAGUUCUUCCAGUAAAUUCAGAUUUUACUCAUCUUUCUCUCAUUUUGCUUAUUUGGUUGAUGAUGCCUCGGUCAAUAUUAAGUUAAAAUAGCUGAUAGAUAUUAAGAUGUCUAUGUCAUAGAAAAUUGUGGGUUUAAUUUUUUACUGGAAAUAAUUGCAUUGUGAUUCUUCAGUGCAAAUUAGAAAUCUAACUGUGCAGUAGUUUUUAUAGCACUUAGCCAUUAAAAGCACAUUCAGAAUGAAAUGGGACUAACUAUAACAUUUGGAAAAAGUGAACCAGCUGCCUUCAUUUCCAGGUCCUGCAGAGCUGUGGGGCUAAAAAAAACUGAGAAAUAGCUGGGAGAAACACUCACUUGAAAGUGUUUUGAUGGAAGCUGAUCUUUUCAUUUUAGUUUGUGUUGUUGCUUUUUAAAUUUUUUUUAUUGAUUUAUUUUUUUUGUUAGAAUAUGCUUACUGAUUCUGAAUUUAGGAUUUCUUAGGAAAAUGGAGUAAUAUCAGUGAUUAAUAUGCUUAGAACAAUUGUAUAUUCAUUUAAGUGUAGGAAAAGAGAAGAUGAAGUUAUUCUUUGUGGCAAGUGUCGCUUCUAAGUAUGUGAAAUAUAAACAUUUAUUAACUAAUCAGAGGAAGAAAAAAAUGAUUUGUUAAAAAUAAAGGAAGUAUCUUCUGUCAAAGGCUUUAAAGCUUUUUUUUCUCAUCUGAAUGAUGUUUCAGAACGGCUGAUAUAGGUUAAAUUUAUGAAAGCUCUAAGGUAGAGAUUUUAUUUCCAUGUAUGUAUGUAGUGGAACUUCAGGGUCUUUUCUUUCUUUCUUUUUUUUUCCCUCCAUUAAUGUUUUAGUUUUAACUAAUACACUUAAUCUACUGGAAUAAGUGGAAAUAAAGCAAUGAAUUCCAGGUCAUUAAGUAAUGAAUACCAAAUGUAUGACAAACUUAUGCUAUUCUUUCCUCAGUUUCCAAGUUAGUCGUUUUUGUGUGGCAUCAACUUGAUUGUUCUACAGCAAUCUUUGGGCUUUGUAAAUUCAUAACAUCUUUGUGAUUAUGAAUAUACAAAUGUUUUUUCAAAGAUUUAUUUUAGGUUAAUUCUAUACUUAAAUUGAUGUGAUUAAAGGAGAUCUGUGUGAACAUAUGGAACAGCUGCUGGGAUGGGCUUCUCAAAUACUAACACAGAUAAUAAACUUGAAGUAAGAGUUAUCUAGUGAAGGUAAAGUACCCCGUCUGGGUGCAGGUCUGCUUCCUUGCAUGAGCAGUAACAGGGCUGCUGUGAUCAAGAAAGCAUUUUACAAGUCAUUUCAGAAGCUUAAAAAUCUGAAAUAGGGAUUACUUAGUUGCACUUGCAAAUUUUUGUAAACUUCUCUGUUGCAAAAAUAUUUGUAAGGUCUAGACAUCAAUAACAAUAAUAGUAGCAGCAACAUGGGUGCAACUAUGCCUUUAUGGCAGUUCUCUAUGAAAUGGUGAGCUAAUAUUUUAUUAUAUUUCAAUCAUUCACAGUACUUCCAUUGGCUUCUGUGGUUUUUGAACAUAGCCUUUUUCAGCUACCUAUAGAACUCUGUAACAGAAUAACUUCCAUUUUUUCUAAUUAACAUUCUUCUUUUUAGAAGGGUGUUUUACCUUGGAGCUGCUGGAUUAAUGAUUGUAUUAUUGAGCAAAUUAAUGUUUCUUACCACUGUAUCUUGCUCACUGACAGAAGAAAAAAUCUUUUAAGAUGAAUGAGGACAUAUAUGACAUUUUUUAUGGGCAGAGAUCACCUGUCCUCAUGAACAUGCAGCUCUUAUAUCUGAACUUCAAUUAUUUCCCAUUCUGCAAGUAUGGUAUAUUAAGGCAAAGUGAAUUUAGGAUUUUUCAGAAGAUAGAUGUAGAUACCAUUCACAAAUUUAUAUUUAAAUAUGGAAAAUCUUGCAUAGCAUUUCUCAUCUGAAAUUCAACUGUGUAGUCAACAGAUCCUUGUGAAGCCUUACAACGAGCACUGACAGUACUUUAUGUAGAAUAAAUUCUGUUUGCUAUGUAUUUAGGAAGUGUACUGGAGUCUAAAGGUAGAGGGACUAUGAACAUGUAUAAAUAAGUUAUUUAUAAAUGUUAGCAGUUCAUAUACAAAACAGUCAUGACUGUUUUUUAGGCAGCUGCUACUCUCAGGGCCCCUUACGUUACUGUGUUGUAUGAGACUUGUUCCACCCCAUGGUGAGGCCUGAGUGAUGUUGCUGCUGUUUUCCAGCCCAUGAAGUUGGCACCCUGGCACAGCAUAAGUAGUCCCCAUGCUUUUUCUUGAGGGAAUCUGUCUCUUCCAGGUAUUGUACUGUAUUGUUACAGUUAGGGUUUGUCUCUGCAUGUGUCAUGAAAGAUCAAAAAGACCCCUGAUCUGUCACAUGUUAAUCCAUUAAAGGUAAAAUAUGUUGUUCAGAGUUGGAUUUCUUUUGGGGCAGAAUGUGCUAUAUCUAAAAUAGGCAAGUAAUAACUUUGUAUCAUUAAUCAUUUAUAGGCUAGUAGGAGAAUACAGGAUCAACUUAAUCCUUUUGGACAUUGAUGAGUGCAUGCUGCCACUUUAAAUAAUGGCAUAAAAGGUAUCACUGCUACCUAGUAUGGAUUUACCAUAGUAAAUGAGUUUGAGUUACUGUACGCAUUUUGCUUUCCAUACCCUGUUAUCAAUAACAGUCCUCAGGCUUCACAAAGGGCAGUACAAGCAGGAAAAGAAUAAUUGCCAUUCUGCAUGGAGCCAGUUUAUUGAUGAGGUGGACAGAAGUAAUAUUUUUAGCCUGCUGGGUGUCCAUCUGUAAGCAGUUUCCUGGAGCUGCCACUUCUCCUUUCUCUGGAAACUGUUAUGGCUUUGUCUGCCCAAGUGAAAUAAUGAACCCUCAGAAAGUGUGUUGAGCACUACUUGAAGCUGUAGUGCCUUCUCACUACAUUACAACAAUUUACUUUCUUGUCCUAGCUGUACUUCCAUCUUUGAGGUUUUUUGUUAUUCUUUCAUGGGGAUUUUCAAUGAAUGAGGGAACAGCUGUGCCAGAUGCUGCCUGAGCUAUGUAGUCCUCUUUGCCAUUGAUAUGGUAAUACAAGGAUUUGCUUUUUUUUUUUUUCUUCUCAGAAUACUGGUAUGCUAUGGCAUUUUGUUUUUGUGUACAAUCUUACCAUUUGUAUAAUGAAGAGGCACUGUAAUCCAGAUAUUAUUCAUCUACUUAAACAGGUUUGUGUGCUAUUUCCAUGAGUAAAACAUGUGAGUUCAUUUUUUUCAGGGCACAGAUGGCAUAUGAAAAUAAAUCUGAAGAGCCAACUAGAUAGAAACAUUAAAAAUCUGGCUUUGUACGGCACACACACAGGCAUACAUACACAAAUGGCUCCAAGAAAUCAUCCAAUUCCUAAUAUUUCAUUAGCUUUUAGUGCAUUAAAGGUUUGAGCACUGAGGAUGAUCCAGAACAGCAUAGUCAGCCUUCUCAGAAAAUGUCUGGGAAAUGCCUAGUGAUAGAAAAAUAAGUGAUGCCUUAGAUCUUGGGAAUCUGUCUGUCUGGUGAUGAAUAAUGCUGUAGGAAUGGCUCAAGCACUGGAUCAUUGCCAUCUACCCCUCUGAAAUGCAGUCAGAUUCCAUCGCGGAGAGUCUCAUUUGCUUUUUAAAAAGAAGAAGAAUCUCUGUUGUGAAGGAAAAGGUUAAGAGGCUUCAGAACUGAAGUGUGAAGAAAGGAAAACAAGAUGAGGAAGAGAUAAAGCCAAGAAGAAAAUGUCUUCCUGUGCGUUUCUCUCCAGAUCAAAUCAAUUUCUAUCUGCCCUAAGUUAAACAAUUGUUAGAUGACAUUUUAUGCAGAUGAAUCAACAUGUUCUCAAUUAUAUUUGUAUAUACAAUAUGUAACAUGCAGUCAGCAUUUUAACUAGAAUUUUUUUAGCAAGCUGCUCUGAGCUCUCCCACAGAUAUGUCAUAGAGAGAAGUCUGUAUGUUUUGAGUAAGUGUGAAUUAGAGAGGCAGAUGUAUAACCUGGGAAGAUUUCCAGAUUCAUCUUUCUUAAAAGUGGAUGUGUUUAGCACUGGCUAUGCUUAACAGGAUUAUUCUUUGAGUUGCAAGCCUUUAGAACAUCAUUACCAUGAUCAUAAUUCAGAAAUAAGUCCAGACUCACCAACAGAUAUAUUUGAGUCCUGGCCUCAGCUUCAGGAAUUGGUAAGUCUUCAAGAAGAGAAUGUUUUUGCUGCUCUCUGGUUAUUUCUGUCUUAACAGUAGGAAGCCAAAUACUCAGCUAGUAAGAAUUGGCACAACUCCAUUCAAUUUAAUGCUUAGCUAACAAUCUACAUAGAAAAUAGCACACUUAUUAGUCACAAAUUUCUUAAGCAUCUGAAAUUAUGAAAAGCUCCCCUGCUUUUCUGUCUUUUGUUUUCCCAUCUGCUUGCAAGUUUAUGUCUUUAACCUCUAUCCUUUAUUACCUUCAUAUUGUUCAUUGCUGCCACACUGCCUUUUUCUCUGAAGCAGCAACAGCUUCAUAUGAAAAGCUGGUCCUCACUCCCGGAUCUCAGUAUAGUUCAUUUAGUCUGAACUUCAAUACAAUUUCUUUCAAAGCUAUCUAUGCAAAGUACCUUACUGUAGGAUCAUACUCUUAUUUCAGUAGGACUGGAACUAAAUGACAAUGUCAACAUAAACAUACAAUUUCAAAGCAAUCUCUCAUGUACAUUGCAACAUACCACAAAGGAUUUCAAUAUUCACUUCUGUAGUUUUAGUAAUAUCUCUCUGGGAAAAGGUUGCUCAUUACUCAAAGUACACAUUCACUCUAGACUGGCAAAAACUCAACAAGACUCCUACAGAAGGUUAUGUUCUCAAGUUUCCUAAGUAAAGAUAUGCUUGGAGAUUCCGGGCCCUCAAAUUCUAAACUUUGAGUAUCAGAUGAGAAAUAUAAUUUCCCAAAUAUGUGUAAAUUUUUUUUAAAGUGUGGAUUCUCAUAAAAUGGAAGCUAGAAUGUACAAGGGCUGCACUGAAAUUAAUGUUUUCUUUAUUAUGUUGGGACGCAACAUCAGAGGUGGAUGUUGGUGGUAUGGCAAUAGAGGCUGAACCUUUCUGCCAGUAUUCUGUUACAUUCUGUAAAGGUGUGGCAAAUGGCAGCAGAGGGGCAGUCUGACAAAGUGGUGUCAGACAUGGAAAUGCAUAUGAGACAAAGGUAUGUAAUUUAAUUCCUCAGUGUAUAAAAAAAAAAAAAAAAAAAGGCACCCAUUCAUCAAUGUUUGCUGAACAUUUCUGGAGACUGAACAGUGGAUGUGAGCACAGUGGGGCAGUGGGUGGUGUAUUUCAGUGCUGGCAAUGGUAACUUGAAAGCCAAGCUACGUUCCAGACACCCGUG
rnacentral:lncRNA from 1 species